rnacentral:rRNA from 1 species
UUGGAGGGCAAGUCUGGUGCCAGCAGCCGCGGUAAUUCCAGCUCCAAUAGCGUAUAUUAAAGUUGCUGCGGUUAAAAAGCUCGUAGUUGAAUUUCGGGACCAUCAUGUCGGUCGUGCCUCGGUACGUACUGGCAUUGUUGGUUUCUCCCUUCUGACGAACCAUGAUGUCAUUUAUUUGGUGUUGUGGGGAAUCAGGACUGUUACUUUGAAAAAAUUAGAGUGUUUAAAGCAGGCUCACGCUUGAAUACAUUAGCAUGGAAUAAUGAAAUAGGACGUUUGAUUCUAUUUUGUUGGUUUCUAGGAUCGACGUAAUGAUUAAUAGGGAUAGUUGGGGGCAUUAGUAUUCAAUUGUCAGAGGUGAAAUUCUUGGAUUUAUUGAAGACUAACUACUGCGAAAGUAUUUGCCAAGGAUGUUUUCAUUAAUCAAGAACGAAAGUUAGGGGAUCGAAGACGAUCAGAUACCGUCGUAGUCUUAACCAUAAACUAUGCCGACUAGGGAUCGGAUGAUGUUAAUUUUUUAAUGACUCAUUCGGCGCCUUACGGGAAAC